CCAAAGCCUAACUUUGAACUUCAGUAUCUAGCUAUUUAUCGUUGCUGGUGUAUCAUGCCAUUUAAAAAUCGAUGCACUUAGGAGUUACGAGCCAAACCUGUUAUGUGGAGGCAGAUUGAGGAGGAUAAAUAUUUACAAGCCCACAAACCAACCUUAUUUUAAGAGUGUUGGGUGGUCAAAAGGAAGCACAAACAUAAGUUAAAUGUGGCAGAGAUGAAGAUGUUGAGAUGGAUGAGCGGUCAUACGCAAUUUGAUAAAAUAAAAAACGAAGAGAGUUGGAGUAGCACCCAUUGUGAAAAAGAUGGUAGAAUCGCGUCUCAGGUGGUUUGGACAUGUGAGAAGGUGACCGACAGAGCACCCAGUCAGGAGGGUAGAUGAGAUGGAGGAUGGACAAAGGAUGAAAGGCAGAGAAAAAUCUAAAAAGAUCAUUCAUGAGGUGGUCAAACGAGAUCUACAUGUAAACAGUCUCGUUGUAGAUAUAAUACAUGAUAGAGCUCAAUAACAUCGUUUGAUUCAUAUAACCAACCCUACCUAGUAGGACUUGUUGUAUGGUACACUUUGGCAAGUGCGGUGCACCAUAGCAGUAGCCCAAAUUAAUGAGUAAUGACAUGUUCAUUUGUGUGAAAAUUGAACUUUGUUAAUACUAGGGAAUCUCAACUUCAGUUCACACUGAUUUGAAUACGUCGUACUAGUAUCUAUUUGUGGGUCUUUUACUUGUAGAAUUGAGGAAUAGAGCUAGUAGUAAUUUAUUGACUUAAAGUCCUGCAAUUGAAUCAUUUAUGAGGUACCGAUCUGGUUUAUGUGGUCAA